CAACAUAUAGGCAUUUCCAAAGUUUUAAGAGUCCCUAUACAUAUUUAGCUGCAACAACAUAGGCAUUUCCCGAGUUUCACAGUCCAUUGGUUAGAUGACCACCACUACCACCACCACCACCACCACCACCAGUGGCGGCCAGCCGCCACAACCAUCGGCCGAACCCCAGCUGAUCCCAGACGUCCCAGAUGACGUGUCCAUCAACUGCCUAUCAAGAAUCCCCAGAUACCAUUACCCUAAGCUCUCUCUUGUCUCAAGAUCAUGGCGCUCCGCCAUAACCUCCUCUGCACUCUUCACCACCCGGUCCCUCCUCCAUACCACCCAAACCUCUCUCUACCUCAACCUCCGCAUCAACUACUCCUUCCACUGGUACACUCUCCUCUCUAAUUGCCAUAGCAGAAAAAACCCACAAAAACCCAUUAUUCCCCUUCGCGGCCUCCCGUUUCAGCCCGUAGGACCUGCGUUCGCCGUCCUAGGCCCGAAAAUAUACGUAAUUGGGGGGUCUAUUAACCAAAUCCCGUUAAAUUGGAUGUGGGUUUAUGAUUGUAGGUUUAAUAGGUGGGAGGAAGGCCCUAGAAUGAAGGUGGGCCGGGAGUUCGCCGGAGCCGGGGUUGUUGAUGGGAAGAUUUAUGUUCUAGGUGGUUGUGUUGUGGAUGUUACGGCUCAGUCUAUGGACUGGGCCGAGGUUUUUGACCCGGUUACCGGGUUGUGGACCACGGUGCCGAGCCCUGUUGAGGUGAGGUUGAAGCGGAUGCACGCGAGCGUGGUGAUGGAGGGGAGAGUUUAUGCAAUGGCGGGUAGAAGUGGGGUGGUGUAUGAUGUUGGGCUGGGGAAGUGGGGAAACGUGUCAAAAAGGCUUGAUUUGGGGUGGAGGGGGCGGGCUGCGGUGGUUCGGGGAGUGUUGUAUUGUUGUGAUUAUUUAGGGAAUAUCAGAGGGUACGAUGUGGAGGAAGAUGAUUGGAAGGAGUUGAAGGGUGAAGGGAAAGGGUUGCCUACGUUCGUCUAUGGUGCAACGAUGGUGAAUUUCGAUGGAAGGUUGUGUGUUGUUUGGGAGAAAAAGGGGAGUGGGAAGGAGGUGGAGAUAAAGUGCGCGGAUAUUGAAGUUUGGAAGAAGGUGGGUGGAAUGUUGGCUGGAAGGAUUUUGUGGUCUGGUGUGAUUCUCAAAGUUCCUGAUGGAGCUGCGAUUGUACAUUGUAUGGCAGCUGAGUUCUGAUGGUGAUGUUUGUGCAGGGUAUGGCAAUUGUUCUUUGGUGCAUAUGUUGUUUAUAAUAUUCAGGAUUCUCACUGCAAUCAAUUUUUCGAACUAUUCCGGUUGAGAAGUAGGUGAUAAAUUGCUCCUUAGCAAAAUGAUGCUACUGCAGUUUCGUCUAGCUCAGAUUGUGUGACUAAGCUACAUUGGGUUAGCUAUCCAGCUGCUUCAGAUUCUCCAAAAUGCCGAGGUGUAUUGCGUAGUCCAAGUCGCCACCACCUGUGGUCCAUUGGUUGAUAAUUUGCUGGCCAAGUUUGCUAUAUUCAAUCUGGAAAUUAUCUUCUGUAUUUCUAUUCAGCCACAUUCUCGACAAUAUCUACUUUCUCCAAUAUGUGUGUAUAGUAGUAGGGUUUAUCUGCAGCUGGCAAUGUAAGUUCGACCGGUCCUGCUGCUUCUUGUUGUAUGUACCUUUCUUUUCCCUUUUGAUUCGAAAGUAAUUUACUGUGCUCAGACAGACCAGUGGAUGUCAGAUAAGUUCAUGUGUUUUAUUCGUGCAUUGUGCUAUAAAUUCUACUCCCUCAGUUAUUGGUUUCAGAAUUGUUAAAUCCUUUCA